AAUCCAUGGUUAGGACAUUUCCUCAAAAACAUCUGGAAACAUUCCUAAGCCUCAUAAAAUGCCUCUUCUAUACCUUGUCUAAAUGUUGAGAUCUCAAACUUGGCGU
rnacentral:snoRNA from 1 species